UACGAAGGGGGCUAGCGUUGCUCGGAAUCACUGGGCGUAAAGGGUGCGUAGGCGGGUUUUUAAGUCAGGGGUGAAAUCCUGGAGCUCAACUCCAGAACUGCCUUUGAUACUGAAGAUCUUGAGUUCGGGAGAGGUGAGUGGAACUGCGAGUGUAGAGGUGAAAUUCGUAGAUAUUCGCAAGAACACCAGUGGCGAAGGCGGCUCACUGGCCCAUAACUGACGCUGAGGCACGAAAGCGUGGGGAGCAAACAGG
rnacentral:rRNA from 1 species